CUUGAGAGCGCAGCGCGUUUGCUUUGUUAAUUCGUAAAAAGAAAAGAAAUUGUUUUCCCCCUUCUUGGAAUAAAAAAAUUAAACUUUUUAUAAUAAACAAUUAAAUAACUAAUUGCGGAAUUAGUGAAUAAAAAAAGAAAGUUUAACCCUUAUUGUUGUUGUUCUUAUAGUUUUCUUUCCUUUGUGUUUCCCUUUUUUUACGUUUCAAUAGAAACCCAGGAAGCAAACUGUUGUGUGGUGUUGCGACAUUAAAUCAACUCCAAAAGACAUUUAUAUAAAACAUUUAAUUCCGAGAGAAGAAAAAAAACAUUUAUCAUUAUGGCCGAUAAGUCUGAGGUGGAAGUAGCGGCUAAUUUUCUGCCACGUACAUCAUCGGAGCCAGAUUAUGUUGAUGCUAGGAGCGUUAGCAGUGAGUCGGACAAGAUGAUACCAUUGCCUGAGUUGCCGGGACGCAGUGAUGACGAGGAUGAUAUAUUCGAAGAAGUUCGUAUGAUUUUGCGACGACGACGCGGCUGGAAUCCAGAUGGAUCGAUUCUUUCCCAUGAUCUAGAUCUGCUCGAUGACGAUGAUGAUUUGGUUGAGGAGGAUGAGCCGGGAUGUCCUUUGCCAUCGACACCAGAAGAUACACAUCUUAUUGAAGCUGAGAUGACAGAAGUACUGAAAGCCGGAGUUCUAUCAGAUGAAAUCGAUUUGGGCGCUCUAGCCCACAACGCUGCCGAACAAGCUGAAGAAUUUGUUCGCAAGGUUUGGGAGGCAAGCUGGAGUGUUUGUCAUUAUAAAAAUCUACCCAAAUGGCUGCAGGAUAAUGAUUUCCUACAUCGAGGUCAUCGCCCACCACUGCCAUCGUUUCGUGCUUGUUUCAAGUCGAUUUUCCGAUUGCACACAGAAACUGGCAACAUUUGGACACAUUUGUUAGGUUGUGUGGCAUUCAUUGGCGUUGCAACAUAUUUCCUUUGCUCGCGUGACAUUCAAAUUCAGGAAAAGCUUAUAUUCGGGGCGUUUUUUGCCGGUGCUAUUAUUUGUUUGGGAUUUUCAUUUGCUUUCCAUACGCUCAGUUGUCAUUCGGUAGAGAUUGGAAGACUGUUCUCAAAAUUAGAUUAUUGUGGUAUUGCGUUGUUAAUUAUGGGCUCUUUUGUGCCUUGGCUUUAUUAUGGAUUCUAUUGUCAUUAUCAGCCAAAGGUCAUUUAUUUGUCCAUCGUGUCUGUACUAGGAUGUCUAUCGAUAAUUGUGUCGUUGUGGGAUAAAUUCUCUGAACCAGCAUUGAGACCGCUUCGAGCUGGAGUAUUUAUGAGUUUUGGAUUGUCGGGGGUUAUUCCUGCUAUUCAUUAUUUGCUAAUGGAAGGAUGGAUCAAUAGUAUUAGCCGUGCCAGUUUGGGAUGGCUUGUGCUGAUGGGAUUGUUAUAUAUUAUUGGAGCAUUGUUGUAUGCCCUGCGAGUCCCAGAAAGAUGGUUUCCAGGAAAAUUCGAUAUUUGGUUCCAAUCGCAUCAAUUGUUCCACAUUUUGGUUAUCGCUGCAGCAUUUGUUCACUAUCAUGGAAUCACAGAGAUGGCAAUGUAUCGGGUUACUGUUGGCGAAUGCACUGUUCCGCAUGAGCCAAUAUCUUUCUAGAUAAAAUUUACAUAAUAAAAACGAAAUAUAAAAAUCCUUAAAACAGAAAUAAUAAAAGAGAAAUACAUAAUUCCAAAUGUAACGAAUUAAAAUAAGCUAAAGAAACAAAAAUAAAUACAAAACCACAAAGAAUCAUUUCCAUCAUGACAAACAAUACAAAUCACUGCACUUUAACACGACUCUUAAAUAAUAAUACAAAAAAACAAAAAAUGGUCUCGAUGCAACUCUAUGUGCGCACACAGCUAGUUAAAGAAUGUAAAAUGUUAAAAAAAAACCUUUCCAGCUUCCAAAUUCUUCAUAAGUAAUCCUAAUUCUGCGCUGGCGGGAGCAUCAUCAUUAUGUGUCCAUUUUGCAUUCUCUCACAAAAUAGUGUAUAAGUUGUAUUCUUCGAAAGUAAAGAAAAACAAAAGCAAAACAAAAACAUUUGUCCGUUGAUCCUUUAAGAAAAAUUAAAUUAAAUAUUUAAUCAAACUUCACUCAACUGUGAUGGAAAACAAAUCUAAAUCUAAUUCCCAAAAAGUUUUCAAGUUUCCUAUAUUAGGUUUAACUUAACAAAAGAAAAAAAAAGAAUUAAUAACAAACUAAAAAUUCGAUGCAAUUGACGUAGAUAAAAAUAAGCAUUUAAAUGUUGCUGAUUUAAACAAACAAAAUAUUAAAAAUAAUAGCAUUAGUCAAUCAGAUAAAUUAAUAUUUUGCAUAAAGAAAAAAAUCAAGCAAAUUAAAAUGAUGGUUACAUUUUUGAAGAAAAAAAUAUAUUAUGUGGUUUUUAAAGUUUAAUGUUUUUGUUUUACCAUAAAACGAAAAGCAUUCGGAUUUAUUUAUGAUUAUUGCAUUAUUUUUUAUAAAAUAUUUUCUUAAGACAAAAAUUAUACAACACAGCAUGAUUUUAAAUAAACUAAUAAAACAAUUUAUACCAUAUCCAAAACGAAUAAUAAUUAUUAUUGCAUGUGAUCGAAAAGUUUGUAUUAUGAUUAUUAAAAGAAUUUAUAAAUAAAGACAUAAGCAGAUUUCUGGUAGCAAUAACACACGAUUUUUAAAUAAGAUUGAUAAUAGAUACAUAAUAUUUUUUAAGACUCGCAUAUUUUUUACAGACAAACAAACUUUAACGUUUCAUAAUUAAUAAUGAGAGAUAAAACACAACAAUUAAGUAUUUAUUGAAAUAAAAAUAAUGUUAAAUGUUCAGAAAAAUUAUAACUAAUAAGAAACUGUAUACUCCAAACCAAAAAAAGAUAGAAGUUAACUUUUCUAAAAUUGUCUUUAUCAAAUUUGUACUAAUAUUAAGUUGGCUAAAUGAAAUUUUAUCGGGCCAGCUUAAUCACAUACAACCAUAUGACUUUCCUCUAUAAAGUCAGUUUUAAUAGAAAAAAAUAACGUUAUAAUAUACAUAAAAUAUAUUUUUAAAGCAACAACAACUUUAUCUC